AUUGAACGCUGGCGGCAGGCCUAACACAUGCAAGUCGAACGAGUGGCGGACGGGUGAGUAAUGUCUGGGAAACUGCCUGAUGGAGGGGGAUAAAUACUGGAAACAGUAGCUAAUACCGCAUAACAUAAGAAGUGCCCAGCUGGUAUUAGCUAGUUGGUGGGGUAACGGCUCACCAAGGCAACGAUCCCUAGCUGGUCUGAGAGGAUGACCAGCAACACUGGAACUGAGACACGGUCCAGACUCCUACGGGAGGCAGCAGUGGGGAAUAUUGCACAAGGGGCGCAAGCCUGAUACAGCCAUGCCGCGUGUAUGAAGAAGGCCUUCGGGUUGUAAAGUACUUUCAGCGGGGAGGCGUUACCCGCAGAAGAAGCACCGGCUAACUCCGUGCCAGCAGCCGCGGUAAUUC
rnacentral:rRNA from 1 species